UCUUAUUCCAGUCGUGUCAACUUUGCACUUAUUCAUUUAAAAACAACACUGAUUUAUCCUCCUGACUUUGGCUUUGAAGUCAGCAAAAGAGAUGUAAUCGUUUGGAGUCUGCUUCUCAUCUCAUGACUUUGAGUUCGAUUCACUGCCACCUUUCCUCUUGCAAAACAUCGCUGUUUGAAGCUUAAGGAUGGCACAGCAUGAAGUUGUUUAAGAGGUUAGGGAAAAUGGAUGCCCAGCAAUUCAAGAUGAAAUUUAAAUGGGUAACAAAAGCAGCAUGGAGGAUGGAAAGCAAGAGGAGUGCAUCAGUUUGACUUUCCUUUUCACUGGUUGUAUAAAUGAACACGGAUCCUUUAUUUAAUCCAGACGAUAAAAGGAGAUUAAAUGGACCGCUGCUGUCCAUCCACUCCAGCCAGGAUACAUUGCAUGAGACCCAUGUCCCCGUGUUGUUCAGGAGAGUGUGAGUAAAGAGUGAGUCCCUGUUGCUUCAGAUGAUGUCACUCCCCAUGGAUUCACACACACAACCACACACACACACAAAUACAUGUCACAUUCAAGUAUUGGUCUUCAUUGUAACUGAUGUGCUGGGGGAUAAUGAGUGGUGGACCUCAGUAUUUUUUAAAGUCUGGCUAUGGCCCUGCACACAAAUACAUGUAGAGAGCUGCCAAAAUAUGCCAAAUUUACCAAAGACUGUCUUUAGUUGUAAAUAACUUUCUGUCAUGAUUUGAGGGGUUUGGGUUUUAUUUAUUCUUAUUCCCAGUCUGUGUUUUGGAUCCUGCUUCUGUUUAUUAUUUUCCCUGGUUGUGCUUUAGUUUCUGAUUAUUGUUUUCUAGUUUAUGUUCUGUACAUUAUGUUUUCCCUUGAUUAGUUUGUAUCAUUGAAUUUCUGUUUUGUCUUCACUCCCUGCAACUGUCAACCUGUAAUCAGCUUCAUUUGAUGCAGGUGCACCAAAUGAAGCUGAUUAGGUGCACCAAAUGAAGCACCAAAUCAGCUUCAUUUGGUGCACCUGCAUCAUGCAAUCAGUCUUCUUGUUUCACCUGCACCAUGCUCCAUUUAUACACCAUCAUUUUGUUUACGCCUUGUGGAAACAUCACUACUUCUUGCUGUCAUCUAUGCCUGUACUGUUUCUGCCUCCUUUUGUGAGUGAUUUGCCUUGCUGAAAAUAAACCGUUUUUACUUAUGGUUAAGAUGUCUGUCCAUCUGCAUUGUGGGGUCCUCCACCAUACCACAUCUGACUCUUUCUUUCUUUUUUUAUUUUCAUUUUACC